GAUGAACGCUAGCGGCAGGCCUAAUACAUGCAAGUCGAGGGGUAUGGGUUGCUUGCAACCCAGAGACCGGCGCACGGGUGCGUAACGCGUAUGCAAUCUACCUUAAUCAGGGGGAUAGCCCGGAGAAAUCCGGAUUAACACCGCAUAACAUUGAGUUGUGGCAUCACAGUUCAAUCAAAUAUUUAUAGGAUUAAGAUGAGCAUGCGUGACAUUAGUUAGUUGGUGAGGUAACGGCUCACCAAGACCACGAUGUCUAGGGGAUCUGAGAGGAUGACCCCCCACACUGGUACUGAGACACGGACCAGACUCCUACGGGAGGCAGCAGUAAGGAAUAUUGGUCAAUGGGCGCAAGCCUGAACCAGCCAUGCCGCGUGCAGGAAGACGGCCCUAUGGGUUGUAAACUGCUUUUGUACCGGAAUAAACCUUCUCUUGCGAGAGAAGCUGAACGUACGGGAGGAAUAAGGAGCGGCUAACUCCGUG
rnacentral:rRNA from 1 species